rnacentral:tRNA from 1 species
GGGGAUUUAGCUCAGUGGCUUAAGUGCCUGCCUGGCAAGCAUGAGGUUGAGAGUUCAAUCCCCA